AUUGAACGCUGGCGGAAUGCUUUACACAUGCAAGUCGAACGGCAGCACGGACUCCGGUCUGGUGGCGAGUGGCGAACGGGUGAGUAAUGUAUCGGAACGUGCCCAGUCGUGGGGGAAAACGUAGUGAAAAUUACGCUAAUACCGCAUACGAUCUAAGGAUGAAAGCGGGGGAUCGCAAGACCUCGCGCGAUUGGAGCGGCCGAUAUCAGAUUAGGUAGUUGGUGGGGUAAAGGCCCACCAAGCCAACGAUCUGUAGCUGGUCUGAGAGGACGACCAGCCACACUGGAACUGAGACACGGUCCAGACUCCUACGGGAGGCAGCAGUGGGGAAUUUUGGACAAUGGGCGAAAGCCUGAUCCAGCCAUUCCGCGUGCGGGAUGAAGGCCCUCGGGUUGUAAACUGCUUUUGUACAGAACGAAAAGGUUUCUACUAAUACUAGGAGCUCAUGACGGUACUGUAAGAAUAAGCACCGGCUAACUACGUGCCAGCAGCCGCAGUAA
rnacentral:rRNA from 1 species